rnacentral:rRNA from 1 species
ACGCUCGACACCUACGGGAGGCGCAGUGGGGAAUAUUGCACAAUGGGGGAAACCCUGAUGCAGCGACGCCGCGUGAGCGAAGAAGUAUUUCGGUAUGUAAAGCUCUAUCAGCAGGGAAGAAAAUGACGGUACCUGACUAAGAAGCCCCGGCUAACUACGUGCCAGCAGCCACGGUAAUCUGAGCGGGCUGGCAAGGC